rnacentral:rRNA from 1 species
AGUGAACGCUGGCGGUAGGCCUAACACAUGCAAGUCGAACGGCAGCACAGUAAGAGCUUGCUCUUACGGGUGGCGAGUGGCGGACGGGUGAGGAAUACAUCGGAAUCUACUUUUUCGUGGGGGAUAACGUAGGGAAACUUACGCUAAUACCGCGUACGACCUACGGGUGAAAGCAGGGGAUCUUCGGACCUUGCGCGAUUGAAUGAGCCGAUGUCGGAUUAGCUAGUUGGCGGGGUAAAGGCCCACCAAGGCGACGAUCCGUAGCUGGUCUGAGAGGAUGAUCAGCCACACUGGAACGGAGACACGGUCCAGACUCCUACGGGAGGCAGCAGUGGGGAAUAUUGGACAAUGGGCGCAAGCCUGAUCCAGCCAUACCGCGUGGGUGAAGAAGGCCUUCGGGUUGUAAAGCCCCUUUGUUGGGAAAGAAAAGCAGCAGGUUAAUACCCCGCUGUUCUGACGGUACCCAAAGAAUAAGCACCGGCUAACUUCGUG